rnacentral:rRNA from 1 species
UGCAGUCGUACGAGAGUUUUUAACUCAAGUGGCGGACGGGUGAGUAACACGUAAGAAUUUGCCUUUAGGAGGGGGAUAACGACUGUAACCGGUUGCUAAUACCCCAUAUGCUAACAGUGAAAUGGAUUUUCCGCCUAAAGAGAAGCUUGCGGCCGAUUAGCUUGUUGGUGAGGUAAUGGCUCACCAAGGCGACGAUCAGUAUCUGGUUUGAGAGGACGAUCAGACACACUGGAACUGAGACACGGUCCAGACUCCUGCGGGAGGCAGCAGUAGGGAAUUUUCCGCAAUGGGCUAACGCCUGACGGAGCAAUACCGCGUGAGGGAUGACUGCCUAUGGGUUGUAAACCUCUUUUUUCAGGGAGGAACAAAUGACGUGUACCUGAAGAAUAAGCAUCGGCUAACUCCGUGCCAGCAGCCGCGGUAAGACGGAGGAUGCAAGUGUUAUCCGGAAUCACUGGGCGUAAAGCGUCUGUAGGUUGUUUAAUAAGUCAACUGUUAAAUCUUGAGGCUCAACCUCAAACUUGCAGUCGAAACUAUUAGACUAGAGUAUAGUAGGGGUAAAGGGAAUUUCCAGUGGAGCGGUGAAAUGCGUAGAUAUUGGAAAGAACACCGAUGGCGAAGGCACUUUACUGGGCUAUUACUGACACUCAGAGACGAAAGCUAGGGUAGCAAAUGGGAUUAGAUACNCCAGUAGUCCUAGCCGUAAACNAUGGAUACUAGAUGUUGCGUACUAGUUAUGCAGUAUCAAAGCUAACGCGUUAAGUAUCCCGCCUGGNNAGUAUGCUCGCAAGANUGAAACUCAAAGGAAUUGACGGGGGCCCGCACAAGCGGNGGANCAUGUGGUUUANUUCGAAGCA